rnacentral:rRNA from 1 species
CAGCAGCCGCGGUAAUACAGAGGGUGCGAGCGUUAAUCGGAUUUACUGGGCGUAAAGCGUGCGUAGGCGGCUAAUUGAGUCGGAUGUAAAAUCCCCGAGCUUAACUUGGGAAUUGCAUUCGAUACUGGUUAGCUAGAGUGUGGGAGAGGAUGGUAGAAUUCCAGGUGUAGCGGUGAAAUGCGUAGAGAUCUGGAGGAAUACCGAUGGCGAAGGCAGCCAUCUGGCCUAACACUGACGCUGAGGUACGAAAGCAUGGGGAGCAAACAGGAUUAGAUACCCCGGUAGUCCCUGUCUCUUAUAU